rnacentral:RNase_P_RNA from 2 species
GGAGGGUGCCUGGCGGCCGCUGGGUUAAUUACUCAGAGGAAAGUCCGGACACCAUAGGGCAGGGAGGUCGCUAACGGCGACCGGGGGCGACCCCAGGGACAGGACCACAGAAAAGAUACCGCCGCUGCAAAGCGGUAAGGGUGAAAAGGCGGGGUAAGAGCCCACCAGCCUGCCGGGCGACCGGCAGGGCUUGGCAACCCCCUCCCGGUGCAAGGCCAAAUAGGUUCCGCUUCAAGGACGGCCCGUCCUUCAUCCCCAAAGGAGGGCGGAACGGGUUGGCCGCUCGAGCCUGCCGGCAACGGCAGGCCUAGACGAAUGGCCGCCGCCCGGUUCUACCGGGCACAGGAUCCGGCUUACGGCACCCUCCGGUU